CUUCAGGGCGGGGUGUGAUUCCCCACCGGCGGUGACAGUCCGCGAGGAAUUGUCUUUGACAUGACCUGACCCGGUGAAAUUCCGGGACCGACAGUAUAGUCUGGAUGAGAGAAGU
rnacentral:ncRNA from 1 species